rnacentral:lncRNA from 1 species
ACCCUUCUUACCAUCAAUUCAUGCUUCAUUACUGACAGUCCGACUGUAAGGGUUGAUGCUUGCUGCUAUGUGGAAGUGACCGAGUGCAUUUGCGUGAUGUGAAAUGUGACGCUGAACUUCAUGAGUACCCUGCUGAUCUGGCAAUACAUCUGUGUGGGUAACAAGAACGGAAGAUCUCCUUUGUCCUUUUCUCAUAUUUUUCAAGUGGUGAAUUGUCUG